UAAGAUGUCGGGAAUGUGUUAGACGAAUGAUUUUGUUUUAUGGAGCUUUGAAGAGCGAUGAAUGGCACUAAAGUGGUGCCAAAUGGAUAUCUCAAACACCCAUUGUUGAUGUGUGAUGCUGAUAAUACAGAGACAGCUAGAGUGACAGAGUUUGAUGAAUAAACUUAAAUUAAAAAACAGAAAUAACCACCAUCUCUCUCAGAGGUCAUCUUUCUCAUUAUUGUGGGGAAACCUCAAAGGGCAUCAGGAAAACCUUCAUCAACCUCUUUGUGCCCAGUGGCUUGUGCAACAGUGUUUCAGAAAUUAUCAUUAAAAUGGGGAUAAUGGAUGACUGGCCACACAUAUGGGGCUAUGGACAAGCUUCAGAGCAGGCUGCCAGGUGGUGGUGUUAGUAGUUUAUACUCCGGGUCCCGGCGUGAGCACAUUGAAGGGUCCCAGAGUGACAGUUCAACCACCGCACACCUAUCCUGGGCAGAACCAGUACUAGGUGCCUUCACCUCUGCAAGGAACUGACAGCUUCUGUACAUGCCAGGUGCAGUGGUACAGUGCGAAUGGUCGUAGAAAGGAUUUCAUAACCAAUCACAACAGAGGUGACCUGGUCUGCCCGGGAAUCGAACCCGGGAUGUCCAAUUCAGAGUCCAACGCUCUACCGAUUGAGCUGACCGGGCGGACAUAUUAGCUACAUUAGAUGACAAGCCAUCUAUGCUGGACAUUCUUCACAAUAAAAUGUGAUGUCACAGGAGCUGUCUAUCUCAACAGCUCACACUGUCCGUAUUUGACUAAAGGAAUGAAUGAAGUCACUGCAGAAGUUAGAUUGAGGAAUGUCCAUGUCACUACCCAUCAUUUGGAAGGAGUUGGAUAAAAAAAAGUGUGGCCUAUGUAUUGAAACAGGUCCGAUUUCCAGUUACGGACAGUCUUGAUUUGUCUGAUUAC